AACGUCCCAACAAGCCGAUAAUCGGUACGGGUUGUGAGAGCAAGAGCCCGGAGAUGGAUUCUGAGACACGAAUCCAGGUCCUACGGGGCGCAGCAGGCGCGAAAACUUUACACUGCGCGAAAGCGCGAUAAGGGGACCUCGAGUGCGUGCGCAAUGCGUACGCUUUUCAGAUGCCUAAAAAGCAUCUGGAAUAAGGGCCGGGCAAGACCGGUGCCAGCCGCCGCGGUAACACCGGCGGCUCAAGUGGUGGCCGCUAUUAUUGGGCUUAAAGGGUCCGUAGCCGGACCAGUUAGUCCCUUGGGAAAUCUUACGGCUUAACCGUAAGGCUGCCAAUGGAUACUGCUGGUCUUGGGACCGGGAGAGGCAAGAGGUACCUCAGGGGUAGGAGUGAAAUCCUGUAAUCCUUGAGGGACCGCCAGUGGCGAAGGCGUCUUGCUAGAACGGGUCCGACGGUGAGGGACGAAAGCUAGGGGCACGAACCGGAUUAGAUACCCGGGUAGUCCUAGCCGUAAACGAUGCGAGCUAGGUGUCACGUGGAUUGCGAAUCCAUGUGGUGCCGAAGGGAAACCGUGAAGCUCGCCGCCUGGGAAGUACGGCCGCAAGGCUGAAACUUAAAGGAAUUGGCGGG
rnacentral:rRNA from 1 species